GAUAACUAAACAGUUAAUCAAGUUGUGAACGCAAAUAAAAAGUUCUUGAAGGAAAUUAAAAGUGCUACUCCAGUGAACACACAAAUAAGGAGAGUAAAU